rnacentral:tRNA from 1 species
ACUUUUGUAAUAUAACAUAAAAUAUGUAAUAUUUUCAAUAUUAAAAUAAUUAAAAAAUUCUAAAGUG